GGCUCCAUAGUAUAGUGGUUAGCAUGUCUGCUUUACAUGCAGAAGGUCCUGGGUUACGGCCCCAAGUGGAGUCA
rnacentral:tRNA from 1 species